GAUGAACGCUAGCUACAGGCUUAACACAUGCAAGUCGAGGGGCAGCAUGAUUGAAGCUUGCUUCAAUCGAUGGCGACCGGCGCACGGGUGAGUAACACGUAUCCAACCUGCCGAUAACUCGGGGAUAGCCUUUCGAAAGAAAGAUUAAUACCCGAUAGUAUAGUAUUUCCGCAUGGUUUCACUAUUAAAGAACUUCGGUUAUCGAUGGGGAUGCGUUCCAUUAGAUAGUUGGCGGGGUAACGGCCCACCAAGUCAACGAUGGAUAGGGGUUCUGAGAGGAAGGUCCCCCACAUUGGAACUGAGACACGGUCCAAACUCCUACGGGAGGCAGCAGUGAGGAAUAGUGAUCAAUGGACGAGAGUCUGAACCAGCCAAGUAGCGUGAAGGAUGACUGCCCUAUGGGUUGUAAACUUCUUUUAUACGGGAAUAAAGUGGAGUAUGCAUACUCCUUUGUAUGUACCGUAUGAAUAAGGAUCGGCUAACUCCGUG
rnacentral:rRNA from 1 species